rnacentral:tRNA from 1 species
GGCUCUGUAGUGAAGUUCAUAUUGAGUUGCAAACUCAGUGAUGUGUACUGAGCGUACACUGGAGCCU